UGGUAUCGUGGCCUAAUUCCAAGCGUCC
rnacentral:piRNA from 1 species